ACCUAGCCCUGAUGGGAGGGAAAAUCCUUUUGUGCCGGGGUUCGGCACAAAAGAUUGGAAGGACAGCAGGAAACGGC
rnacentral:sRNA from 2 species